rnacentral:rRNA from 1 species
GCUUACACAUGCAAGUCGAACGCCCGUAGCAAUACGGGAGUGGCAGACGGGAGAGUAACACGUGGGAACGUGCCCUUCAGUUCGGAACAACCCAGGGAAACUUGGGCUAAUACCGGAUACGUCCGUAAGGAGAAAGAUUUAUCGCUGAAGGAUCGGCCCGCGUCUGAUUAGCUAGUUGGUGGGGUAAUGGCUCACCAAGGCGACGAUCAGUAGCUGGUCUGAGAGGAUGAUCAGCCUCACUGGGACUGAGACACGGCCCAGACUCCUACGGGAGGCAGCAGUGGGGAAUCUUGGACAAUGGGCGCAAGCCUGAUCCAGCCAUGCCGCGUGGGUGAUGAAGGCCCUAGGGUUGUAAAGCCCUUUCGGCGGGGAAGAUAAUGACGGUACCCGCAGAAGAAGCCCCGGCUAACUUCGUGCCAGCAGCCGCGGUAAUACGAAGGGGGCUAGCGUUGCUCGGAAUCACUGGGCGUAAAGCGCACGUAGGCGGAUUGCUAAGUCAGGGGUGAAAUCCUGGAGCUCAACUCCAGAACUGCCUUUGAUACUGGCGGUCUCGAGUCUGGGAGAGGUGAGUGGAACUGCGAGU